AUUGAACGCUGGCGGCAUGCUUACACAUGCAAGUCGUACGGUAACAGGCCUUCGGGCGCUGACGAGUGGCGAACGGGUGAGUAAUGCAUCGGAACGUGCCCAGUCGUGGGGGAUAACGCAGCGAAAGCUGUGCUAAUACCGCAUACGAUCUGCGGAUGAAAGCGGGGGACCUUCGGGCCUCGCGCGAUUGGAGCGGCCGAUGUCAGAUUAGGUAGUUGGUGGGGUAAAGGCUCACCAAGCCAACGAUCUGUAGCUGGUCUGAGAGGACGACCAGCCACACUGGGACUGAGACACGGCCCAGACUCCUACGGGAGGCAGCAGUGGGGAAUUUUGGACAAUGGGCGCAAGCCUGAUCCAGCAAUGCCGCGUGCAGGAAGAAGGCCUUCGGGUUGUAAACUGCUUUUGUACGGAGCGAAAAGGCUCCCUCUAAUACAGGGGGCUCAUGACGGUACCGUAAGAAUAAGCACCGGCUAACUACGUGCCAGCAGCCGCCGUAAUAC
rnacentral:rRNA from 1 species